GCAUGACUCUGAAAGGGCCAGCUCCUCCAGGGUCAGAGGGCAGGCAGGACGUGACUCAGGCUGGACCAGACUCACAGCAGGACAGGACUCAAACUGGACUAGGUCCACAAUGCUGGUAGUGAUGCUCACAGGACUGGGAGGUCGGGACUCAAGAAUAACGGGACAAACAGGAUUACUGGGCCUCACUUUUCUCCUAGUGGUGCUCCGAGGGUUGCUCGGCCUCCCCUCAGGUCUGGAAGGCUGUACAUAAGACUGGACCAGGCCAACGGGGCUAACAGGCCGUCUAUUGGGGCAUUGAGGGUUGCUAGUCCUCCCCUCAGGUCUGGAUGGCUGUACGUCAGGCUGGACCAGGCCAACGGGGCUAACAGGCCGUCUAGUGGGGCGUCGAGAGUUGCUAGGCCUCCCCUCAGGUCUGGAUGGCUGUACGUCAGGCUGGACCAGGACAACUGGUCUAACAGGCCGUCUAUUGGGGGGCCGAGGGUUGCUUGGCCUCCCCUCAGGUCUGGAAGGCUGUACGUCAGGCUGGACCAGGACAACGGGGCUAACAGGCCGUCUAGUGGGGCGUCGAGAGUUGCUAGGCCUCCCCUCAGGUCUGGAAGGCUGUACGUCAGGCUGGACCAGGACAACUGGUCUAACAGGCCGUCUUGUGGGGCGUCGAGGGUUGCUAGGCCUCCCCUCAGGUCUAGUGAUGCUGACAGGGAUUCUAGGAAUCAUCAUCUCAUGCUGGUGCAGGCUCUCUGGGCUGCUGGGCCGGGAAUCAGGUAGAAGCUUGUAGUUCUUCAGAACCUCAGUGAAGGAGAGCUCCUUGUUGCGCCUGCGUCUGUUGGUUUUGGCAGGCAGCUGGGAGCUGCUGCUGUUAAUCCAACCGGGAGACUCACGACAUCCAUCCUGGACAGGAACUAGGGACUGGAGG
rnacentral:lncRNA from 1 species